rnacentral:rRNA from 1 species
AUGCCGCCACAUUUUCCCAGCAAUCCUGACCACGGGCCACACGUCGUGAGGCCGUUCCACAGGCACAAAUCGAUCCACCGGAUCCUGGGCGGAGGGAAAGCUGCGGACAUUCUGCUGUGGAAGAACAGGAAAGUGUCUGCUGGGGUUCUCGCUGGGGCCACGUUGACAUGGUUCCUGUUCGACGUGGUUGAAUACAAUGCAGUUCCGCUCCUUUGCCAGAUCGCCAUCUUCGCUAUGCUUGCCAUCUUCAUUGCCUCAAAUGCUGCGCCGCUCUUCGACAGGGCCCCGCCAAAGAUACCACAAGUCGUCGUCUCUGAACACGCCUUCAGAGAAAUGGCCAUGACCAUUCACCACAAACUGGAAUAUGCUGCAUCUCUUCUUUAUGAUAUCGCAUGUGGAAAGGAUCUGAAGAAAUUUCUCAUGGUGGUAGGAUCCCUGCUGUUAUUGUCAGUGAUUGGAGGUUCUUGCAGCUUCACAAGCCUACUCUACCUUGGAUUCUUGUGUGCCCACACUUUGCCAGUGUUGUACCAACAUUACGAGACAGAAGUGGACCAUCUCGUUGCAAGGGGUGGCCAAGACAUCAAGAAGUUCUAUGAGAAGGUUGAUUCCAAUUUGCUCAACAAAAUACCAAGAGGCCCUGUCAAGACGAAAUUCAGAUAA